rnacentral:lncRNA from 1 species
UUGCAACAACUCUUUGAGGGGUCCGUAGGUGGCCUGUUGCAAGGCAAAAUUUCUGUCCCUAUCCAAUAUACCCUCAUUUUCCAGUGGCAGUCCAAUUUUCCCCGACCAUCAUCCCAGAUGGCCUCUAUUAUUUCAAGACCUACCUAUAGUAUUUAUUGUGAACUUGUUUUCGUCCUGAAUAUGCAUGAAAUAUUUGCCACUGGACAUUAAGCAACCAAC